CAGCUAUAUUUCCAAAAAUCAGAAUUAGUGUCUGGAAAACUGUCCCAACUACUAAUUUUUCUUCAGUGCCAGCAUGCUUCUUAUCCUUUGAAAUGUCCUGCAGAAGCAAUCAUGGAAGCAGCAGACAAGAUUCAGUCAUUUUACAGCAGUUCUUGAAGAAAUUGCUGGUGCCAUUAGCGGGAGUGUAGCUGAUGAAUUUAGACCCAAGGUGAGUUUCUGUCCACUCAGCUGCAGAUGUGCAGUCCAGCUGAAGAGCCUAAAUCAUGCUGAUUCUAAUGCUCGAUGACAAAAAACAUCAAAAGGAUUUUUCCAGUACGUGAUGAGAGAAGAGAAGAAUUAAAAGGAGAGUUUGCUUAUGUCCAAGUAACAUCCAAAAGAGAACAGGAAAUAAUUAAAAUGAAGUGCAGGAAGAGGUGUCUAAACAGUAGUGAUGGGUGCUUUAUAAAUGACUAACAAGAGGAAAGGAAAACCAAGUAUCUUCUGUACAACUGCUAGAAGUAUAUCACCUUUAUUUACAAUUAAUAAAAUAAUAGCAGAAUUUCAUAAAGACACAAAAUAAAAACAGUAUUUUUAACCUUGCUAAUGUUACUGCCUCAUAUUCUAUUAUUGGUAACUCAUAAAUAAUCAGAUUUACCAUUACAAUGUUCUUUGCUUUCUAAAUCUCUACGUGAAAGGACAGUGAAAACAAACUAGUCAGUUCUGUGUUAUCAACUUCACGUUCAGAUUUCCAUGGUUGAACAAAAUGUUAAAGUACUUGAAUUGCAAACACUGCUGGAAUGUGGAAAUGGAAAACCUUUUCUAUGGAAUUUUAAAAAUGUUUACCAAAAGAAAUAAGGAAAGAAAAGAAUUAGAUGUUGAGCCUGUAAAAAUGAGACAGCAGCAAGAGCUUGGAUAAGGAUAAUAAACUAGUCAGGUGAGUGUUGUCUCUUGUUGAUCUGUAGAUAUCAAUGAAACAAGCAGGGGAGCCAUUUCAAAUUCUGGUGGGGGGAGGCCAACCUGUACAUGCCAUGAUGGGGAGGGGAGGAAAGUGAGGGUGGACAGAGGCUUCAACAGUGCUAUUGAGCAUGCUCAGUACAAGCUAAGCACUAAAUGGGGAGGGGGAAUCAACCCCCCCCCCCCAUCAUCUCUAUCCAGGGGCUAGCAAGAUACUGGAAAACUCUACUUUUUUGGCAGACAAUUUAUCAGUUAGCUAGCUGGAGCAUUGUAUCUAAUUCCUGUAUAAAAGAAAGAAAAUUAAAUAGACAUUAGACCCCCUCAGCUCUAACAAUAACAUAUUUUGACAUUUUGUGGCAAGUCACUUAAGGAACACUGGUUAGCCUUAAAAUUUUAGUGUACUGUAUAUUCUUA